UGCUUUUUAUUUUAAUUUAUGAUUUUCUUUUAAUUGCUCCUAUUUUAUUUAAUUCAUAGAAAUUUCAUUUUUAAUCCAAAAAAUAUGGGACUUUCACCGAAAAUCUUUAAAUAUUUUUCUCUUCCAUAUUCUUAAUUAAAAUUAUUUUUUGGAUUAACUUUGAUACUUUUCUUGAAUUAGGUUUUGACCAAUUUAAAAUGUAUUUUAAUUCUUUUUUAAGUUGAUUUUUAAUUGAUUAAAUGUUUA
rnacentral:lncRNA from 1 species